GUCAGUUGGCCUUCUUCAUGCUGUGGAACUUAGGAUGGAUGCUACACUCCCAAGGAAAUGGUUGGGUAUCUUUACCCAGCGAAGAGGGCUAUACUUUGGGGUGUUUACUGAAGACCCAGGCAGGUUGAUUUUUUAAACUCUGCCAACUGCAUGUAUUGGAUUAUGGCUGGUGGGAAUGCACCAAGGACCCAGGUGGACAGUUUUCCUCUCUGGAUUGCAGCAGGACUCCCAGCACACCCCGAGAACCACAGCAGUCUUGAUCACAUCAUAUGGGGAGGAUCUGGGAGGUGUUUGGUUGGCUUGGGUUUGCGGUGGUAGCUGCUGCUUGUGAGCAGUGGGGUACUCUCUGGGCUCCAACCAAUGGGGUUGCCCAGUCUUCUCUGCCACGCCACAUGUGCGAGGACCUUGUGGCAUACUCACAGCUUUCAGUAAUGACUGGAGGAGAGGAAUUCUGCAUUGCUGGAACUCCAAGGGGGGGCUCAGACAUGCCUGCUCUCCAGUGUGCAGAUUCUCUCCUGUACCCAGUCCCUUCAGAACUCAACCAGGUUCCACUCCAGUCUUCUCAGGAUCCGUUAAAGAAAACUCCAAUCUUGGAUAUCUUGGA
rnacentral:lncRNA from 1 species